rnacentral:rRNA from 1 species
GAUGAACGCUAGCGGCAGGCUUAACACAUGCAAGUCGAGGGGCAGCGCGGGAUAGCAAUAUCCUGGCGGCGACCGGCGGAAGGGUGCGUAACGCGUGAGCGACAUGCCCGUUGCCCGGGGACAACCGGUGGAAACGCCGACUAAUCCCCGAUGGGAUAUUGUGCCGCAUGGCACGAUAUUGAAAGUUACGGCGGCGACGGAUUGGCUCGCGUCCGAUUAGCUUGUUGGCGGGGUAACGGCCCACCAAGGCUGCGAUCGGUAGGGGUUCUGAGAGGAAGGCCCCCCACAAUGGGACUGAGACACGGCCCAUACUCCUACGGGAGGCAGCAGUGAGGAAUAUUGGUCAAUGGGCGGAAGCCUGAACCAGCCAUGCCGCGUGCGGGAAGGAGGCCCUAUGGGCUGUGAACCGCUUUUGCCUGGGGGCAAUAAGGGCGUCGCGCAUGUCCGAUGAGAGUACCAGGCGAAUAAGCAUCGGCUAACUCCGUG